UCAAAGAGUGGAAAGUACCUUGGAGGUGCUCUACUGAGGGCUAAAAGAGGGAUGCAAAGUCAAGCCUGAGGAGGGCAGAAUGGGGGUUAUGUUAAUACUCUUAUUCGGGGAUUUAUUGAGGGAUUUGAGAGGAGAGCCCUGUGAAUCCAAGCCCCUGCAGGAAGGGGGUGCAACUAAAUGCUGACCUGGCUGAGUUAUUGGAAGAGGGACCAUGGCAGGGCUGGCGUGGCUGUUGGGUGCUACAUGGAGAAUGAGCCUGCUCUGCUGUACCCAGCCAAGAAAGAAUGUACCAGCAGUGGGAGAAGUCUUUGACAUUCUCUAGAGGUCAAGAGCUCUGACCAAGACUCUCAAAAGCCUGGGAGGGACAGUGAACAGAAAACACAAAGCAAUAGUGUUCUCAAUGCAGCCACGAAAGCACCACCCCUGAGACCUGCUGGGCUCAGCCUGCUUUCAGGCUCUUUUGUUGAACCUGUGCACAUCAGCUCAAGCAUUCAGUAGUAUGGGCCUCUUUCCACUCCACUCAAGGAACAGCAAAAUGGCUGCUCACGCUGCCAGUGGCAGGCUGUACUGAGGUAUGGCUGAUAUGUAACCACUGGCCUGAUUCAUUAUUUUAUCUUGAAGUUAAAAAACCCCUCUAUUUCCUCACUUUCUCCUCCUGUGGACCUCCUCCAUACACAUUAGUUAUCUCUGUUCCCUGCAUUGUGAACUGUUCACUUACAUCUUCAAAGAAGGUGACUUAAAAUGGAUGCUGUAGAACAUGGUCUACCCAGGUGCAACAUAGUGAUAACCUGAUUGCCUUGGCUUACAAAGUCUGCUGAGGCUGACAGCUAUAGUCCUGUGUACUGAUCUCAUGUCACUUCAGUGCCCUCGCCUGCCUCUGACAAACCAAGAUAUGAGAGCUGCGGGGUGUCCCUACCACAGAGCCAGGCAAAGGUGUAGUCCUGUGCUAUGUUCUUUGUCUUCCAUUUUACAAAGAGAGUUUGAUCCAAAACCAGAGUACAGCAGUGUAAACCCUUCCAGGGCAAGCUCCCAGCGGAACUCUGAGCAUGCACCGUUUUGUGCUGACAAACAGCCUUAGAUCUCAGGGAGGAUCUUAUCGGUAAAAUUGUAUAAUCUUCUCUUUGAAUUUCAAAAUAAAUCAAAAGAGAAACUGAAAUCACCCCCUGCCAUGCUUUGACUGCCCGCCACCAUCCAUAUUUGGCCCAGAAACUAUUUGCUGUAGGAAACCAUCAACCAAGAAAUAAUCUACUGUCUACACCUGUUUAGAAAGCACUUGCUGUAGGGUAAAUAAACUCCCAAAGCAGAGGACUCGAUCUACCAGAGAGGUAGAAAUUCUAUUAAGUGAUGGGGAAAUCAGAAAUUUGAUCCAAUUCCCACCCUCUUCCUUUGCUAACUGAGUAUUAUUUUAAAAUAAAUGUAAUAAUACUGUAUGUAAUAUUACUGGCUGAACAUAAAGGGAGGAAAAAUACAGUUCUGUAAAAAUACCAUGAAAAUUCACCACCACAAAU